AGUGAACGCUGGCGGUAGGCCUAACACAUGCAAGUCGAACGGCAGCACAGUAAAAGCUUGCUCUUACGGGUGGCGAGUGGCGGACGGGUGAGGAAUACAUCGGAAUCUACUUUUUCGUGGGGGAUAACGUAGGGAAACUUACGCUAAUACCGCAUACGACCUACGGGUGAAAGCAGGGGAUCUUCGGACCUUGCGCGAUUGAAUGAGCCGAUGUCGGAUUAGCUAGUUGGCGGGGUAAAGGCCCACCAAGGCGACGAUCCGUAGCUGGUCUGAGAGGAUGAUCAGCCACACUGGAACUGAGACACGGUCCAGACUCCUACGGGAGGCAGCAGUGGGGAAUAUUGGACAAUGGGCGCAAGCCUGAUCCAGCCAUACCGCGUGGGUGAAGAAGGCCUUCGGGUUGUAAAGCCCUUUUGUUGGGAAAGAAAAGCAGCAGGUUAAUACCCCGCUGUUCUGACGGUACCCAAAGAAUAAGCACCGGCUAACUUCGUG
rnacentral:rRNA from 1 species